AGCUGCGGUCCCAGCAUGACUUUGUUGAUAAAGUUGACGAUGGCGACUGCUGGCUGCUCAGGGUCCAUCUCUGCAAACAGGUGACAGACGUUUUCCGUGGAACUGCCCGUCCGCCUGGCCACAAAGCCGAACAUCCUGCAGAGAGAAACCAGACAAGAGAAGUCAAACGACUGGAGAGUAAAAGCAAACUAAGUUGAUGUGGACUCAGGCUGUAUAAACCUUGCAGUGGAGGACCACUACGUUACUGGGGUCAGAGGUCAGCCAAGUCUCCAUUGCCUUACAGACGGCACAGAUCCUGUCCAAGGGUGGGGCGUGGAGAUCAGGCCAGCCAUAGUCCUGCACCUAUGAAGAAGCAGAGGAAAAUACACAUAGAGGCCACUUCCUGGAGGUUCCUGCGGUAGCGCUGUUCCUCCAGGUCUGGCAGGAAGAAGACGGAGAUGAUCCUCUCUGUGAUGUAGGUGAGGUCAAAGUCGUAGUGGCGCUCCAUCACAUGCUCCAUCACUUGCUCCACACUUUUACUCCUGGACAUUGAGAGAAGUCGUGCUUUCAGUGCAGCCAAAACAUCCAUGAGGAGAUAAAGAUUGACAAGCUCUGUGUCCAUAAUGUUGAUUUUACUUCUGUUUUUCAUAUAUCAAAUAUAAUUUUCUUUUGUCUUGUUGAUUUUUCUUACCUCGGUAAGGAGCCUCUUUUCUUCUGGGAUGUAGAUUUAGUGGAACCUCUCUGAGGAACAAAUGUAAAAGAGUAACUAUGCUGCAGUUAUUGAUCACUUUAUUGAUCACUUUAUAAAUUACCAUUAAUUUAAACUACUUUCUAACAAGUGCAUGUACAAACUUACCAGAUCUGAUGUUGAGGUGCAGGUGGGAGACACCUGAAAGGAAGACAGGAGAAUAUGGUUAGUUUGUCCAGCAGCACACAAACCUAUGCACACACAUACAGGCACACAAACACACACUGGGAAUGAACCAACACACGCCAGGUCAUGUGUUUGGUUUAAUGCUCUUGGUGCUGCUCCAGCAGCGCAAAUUAAGAAAUGGAGGGAUGGAGGGAGGGAUGAAGAGCUGAUGGAGAGGAUGGUGAGAUCCGUUCCUACUCUCCUCCUGCAGCUGGGGCUGUCAGCGCAGAUUCUCAUUCCACAUGUCACAUUAUUUCAGACACACACACACACACACACACACACACACACACACACACACACACAAAAUUCUCCCUUCACACACUGUGGAACAACCAGCUGGUGUGAAAUGUGUUGACCAGACAUUAGAAAAAGCAGAAGUCUUCAGAAUAAAGUGAGAUACUCAAUAAAAAUGAUUGAUUGUG